rnacentral:lncRNA from 1 species
AGGCACUUAGUGCUAUGAACUUUUCUCUUAGCAUUGCUUUCAAAGAUUUGAAUAAGUUUGGGUAUGUUGUGAAUCCACUUUUGUUGAUUUGUAGGAAGUCUUUAAUUUCUGCAACAUGGAUGGGUUAGACUUUGAAAACUAUUCUAUGGUUCUACAUUCUUUAUCAUGGAACCAGGACAUGGAGAAUGAAGACAAACUAAACCAGGUGCUAGCCAAAAUUCGGGAACUCUGCAUCCAUCCCAGCUGUGAAUCCCUCUCUGUUGAAAAGUUUGCAGACACUUCUUUCAUUCUGCAGCAGUCUCUUAACUCCAGUGAUUUUGCCAUGUAAUACCAUUUAUCAACUUUAUGUUUAUUGUCUGUGCUUUUCUGACUUAAAAAAAGUAUUGCCUGUACUUUCAUCUUCAAGUAUCUCCCUCAUAUUUUCUUCUACAUAGUUUUACAGUUUCAAUUUUGCAUACUGGUGUUUGAUCCAUUUUUGUAUAGGACGAAAAACAGGAACAAAGUUCACUCUUCCAUGUCCAGGGUUCUGC